rnacentral:rRNA from 1 species
AUACGUAGGUGGCAAGCGUUGUCCGGAAUUAUUGGGCGUAAAGCGCGCGCAGGUGGUUCCUUAAGUCUGAUGUGAAAGCCCCCGGCUCAACCGGGGAGGGUCAUUGGAAACUGGGGAACUUGAGUGCAGAAGAGGAUAGUGGAAUUCCAAGUGUAGCGGUGAAAUGCGUAGAGAUUUGGAGGAACACCAGUGGCGAAGGCGACUGUCUGGUCUGUAACUGACACGGAGGCGCGAAAGCGUGGGGAGCAAACAGGAUUAGAUACCCUGGUAGUCCACGCCGUAAACGAUGAGUGCUAAGUGUUGGGGGGUUUCCGCCCCUCAGUGCUGCAGCUAACGCAUUAAGCACUCCGCCUGGGGAGUACGGUCGCAAGACUGAAACUCAAAUGAAUUGACGGGG